UACGGAGGAUGCAAGCGUUAUCCGGAUUUAUUGGGUUUAAAGGGUGCGCAGGUUGUUUGGUAAGUCAGUGGUGAAAGUCUGUCGCUUAACGGUAGGAUUGCCAUUGAUACUGUUAGACUUGAAUAUGGAUGAGGUAGGCGGAAUGUGUAGUGUAGCGGUGAAAUGCAUAGAUAUUACACAGAACACCGAUUGCGAAGGCAGCUUACUAAUCCAUCAUUGACGCUGAGGCACGAAAGCGUGGGGAUCAAACAGGA
rnacentral:rRNA from 1 species